rnacentral:tRNA from 1 species
GCCUGUCUAGCUCAGUUGGUACAGCGUAAGGCUUUUAACUUUGUGGUUGUGGGUUCGAGCUUUAUGGUGGGUA